AUGGAUGGAUGCAGGCGGGCACAUCAGCCCGGCGGUGACCUUUGGGUUGUUCCUGGCGAGAUCAUCGGCACCUUCUUCCUCGUCUACACCGUCUUCUUCGCCACCGACGCCAAGAGGAACGCCAGGGACUCCAACAUCCUUGCCCCGCUGCAAAUCGGGUUCGCCGUGUUCCUGGUCCACCUGGCCACCAUCCCCAUCACCGGCACCGGCAUCAACCUGGCGAGGAGUCUCGGCACGGCCAUCCUGCAGCAAACGCAGCCUGCAAAUACCCCGCUGAUGCUGGGAAGUGGGAUCCUGAAUCCACUUUGUGUUUGCUAUCAGUUAGUAUUCAGAUUACGCACACAAAUGUCUGCAGAUUUGCACAUAGCACAAAUCUUCAGAGAUUUGAGCAUACACCUACCAAAUCUUGUACUAUUUGGCAUAUCAUUAAUGCACCAAUUGGCCAAUGAGCUGAAGGAGCUGAAGGAGAUCCACAUGGAGGACACCGAAGAGGAGGAAAUGCAUGACAUCGACAGCUGCGACGUCGGCAACUCCCUUGCGGUUGUUGAAUAUGUGGAUGAAAUUUACAGCUUCUACAGAAUGACCGAGGUAAUUAUCUGCUUGGAACCCCGGUCAAGUUAUCUUGUACAGAGUUGUGUGCCUAACCUGACCUGGCGAACUCACCCAAUGCAGGUCUACUAUAAGCUUGAGCUACUGGGUGAAAUUUUAUUCCUUACUGUCAACGUCAUUGAUAGAUACCUGGCCCGAGAAAAUGUCGCCAGGAAGAAGCUGCUGCUGUUUUUUUUGGGCUGUGGUAUUACGUUUCUUGUUGGCACCAAGGUGUUUGAGAUGGUCUUCCAGUUGGUGCAUGAGGAAGAGGAAGUGAAGUCCUUGAUUUUUCCACCGAGGAAGAGGAAGCGUGAAGUCCUUGAUUUGUCCAGAUGUAGUAUUUGUUGUCAAAAGCAUGAUUGUAUUGUGAGCCAUCAAUUUCUUGGAGUCUUCUUAGAGCUUGCUGGCAUUAGGAUCGACCCCUAG
rnacentral:rRNA from 1 species